UACAGAGGUCUCAAGCGUUGUUCGGAUUCAUUGGGCGUAAAGGGUGCGUAGGCGGCGGGGCAAGUCUGAUGUGAAAUCCCGGGGCUCAACCCCGGAACUGCAUUGGAUACUGCCUUGCUAGAGUACUGGAGAGGAGACUGGAAUUUACGGUGUAGCAGUGAAAUGCGUAGAUAUCGUAAGGAAGGCCAGUGGCGAAGGCGAGUCUCUGGACAGUUACUGAUGCUGAGGCACGAAGGCCAGGGGAGCAAACGGG
rnacentral:rRNA from 1 species